GAUGAACGCUGGCGGCGUGCCUAAUACAUGCAAGUCGAGCGAAUGGAUUAAGAGCUUGCUCUUAUGAAGUUAGCGGCGGACGGGUGAGUAACACGUGGGUAACCUGCCCAUAAGACUGGGAUAACUCCGGGAAACCGGGGCUAAUACCGGAUAACAUUUUGAACCGCAUGGUUCGAAAUUGAAAGGCGGCUUCGGCUGGCACUUAUGGAUGGACCCGCGUCGCAUUAGCGAGUUGGUGAGGUAACGGCUCACCAAGGCAACGAUGCGUAGCCGACCUGAGAGGGUGAUCGGCCACACUGGGACUGAGACAUGGCCCAGACUCCUACGGGAGGCAGCAGUAGGGAAUCUUCCGCAAUGGACGAAAGUCUGACGGAGCAACGCCGCGUGAGUGAUGAAGGCUUUCGGGUCGUAAAACUCUGUUGUUAGGGAAGAACAAGUGCUAGUUGAAUAAGCUGGCACCUUGACGGUACCUAACCAGAAAGCCACGGCUAACUACGUGCCAGCCGCCGCAGUAA
rnacentral:rRNA from 1 species